rnacentral:rRNA from 1 species
GAUCCUACGGGAGGCAGCAGUGGGGAAUAUUGCACAAUGGGGGAAACCCUGAUCCAGCGACGCCGCGUGAGUGAAGAAGUAUUUCGGUAUGUAAAGCUCUGUCAGUAGGGAAGAAAGAAAUGACGGUACCUGACCAAGAAGCCCCGGCUAACUACGUGCCAGCAGCCGCGGUAAUCCGUAGGGGGCAAGCGUUAUCCGGAUUUACUGGGUGUAAAGGGAGCGCAGACGGCAGCGC